rnacentral:tRNA from 1 species
CAUUAAGUGGCUGAAAGUCAAGCAAUGGUCUCUUAAACCAAUAAAUGGUAACUUACAAAUACCCUUAAUGA